ACCCUACCCCCAUAAUACACUCCCUCUGAACAUCUGGAAACAUCUGUAGCUGGCACCCUUGGGUCUGUACAUAAUCGAGUGUUACAGACCAUGGGGUCUCCCUUCUAUUGAUCAAUGGCCCUAAAAUUCCUGUACAACUCAUCAGGCUAGUCAGAAACCUCAGAGCCAUUUUUGGACGAGGGUCUGCCUUCUACCCCCAGGUGGCUGGCCUCCUGGAGAAAACUCAGAUUCUUUUCCAAUCAGAACUCGUUUCUUGAGUCUUGGCUUUUCCAGGGACAGCAGCCAAACCUGGGUUUUGGGUAUGGAGGUGAGGAUCACCAGGAUUCAGAGCACACUCCGGGGGACACUGCCAGGAGUGUCCCCUCGCGGGUGGCUCAGACCCCACAGCUUGACGCAUUUGUAGGGACCCGCAGAGGCAGAACCUGUCCCGUGUCCACACACCGUGGGAGCGACGCCCGACACCAAGCCGGCCAUGGAUGUGUUUCUGCUGAACAGGAGAGCAAGCCAACAAAGGAACAGGAAUGAGCAGGAGACUGCGGCAAGCUUUGCUAGAAAAUCCACCAGAGGUGCCCAGGCCUCGGAGGGAACGGGGAACGUUUCAGAAACCACAGGACGCCCACUCCAUCAGAGAGCCCUGGAAGCAACAGCAGGACAGGGGCGGCAUUUCCAGAGCCUUCCUCGGGGGGAGGGGGAAGGAGUGUGUGUGCACCCGGAAGGCUCGUGAUGCUCGGCUUUCCGUGACAGCCCCAGCGUCAGCCCUCGGAGCAGGCUUCUUAAAUUGCGGGCUGAACAGCUCUGACUCACCGCCCGACUCGGUCCUGCUCUAUUUUCCAUUAUAGAAACCUUAUCUUGUGCGUCAAGAUCCGAGAUAAAAACAAUUCCUUUUUCCAUCCUCCUCAAAAGCUCAUAAAUCUUUUUUAUGGGCCACAGAAGCCACUGGCCAGUCUUAGAACUCAGGAUUGUGUCCUGAUAGACCUGGGGGUCAUCUCUUUGUAUGUAAUCAUCAAGGAAGGAAAUACCCCAUUUCCCUCAGGGGAAGAUGCUCCUACUUUCUCCCCACUCGACCUUGUGAAAGCUGCCUGAUGCAAAAGAUUUAUCCGUUUAGCUACGGGAGACAGACAGACAGACAGCAUUUCUCUUUGCAACUCCUCCCGAUGCUGGCCUGGGAUUCUCAUCACGGUUCUGGUUUAAUGUGUGUCAGUGAUACACCUGUUGGUUUUCUCGUCUACCUUUGCAGAGGGGUUUGGGGGGUCAGGAGUCAAUUUGGUUUUUAAUUGUAUUCCCCACACUUUGUCCCACACCAGGGACAUGAUUUUCACAUCAAAGACAAGUGGGGAGACGAGAAAUUCUAUUGACCCAACGAAGGUGGUGCAGACCCAGCCUUCGGCAGCUUGUCUCCCAGAUUCCUGGCCCCUGCUGUUCCCCCCACGGUGGGCUGAACAGAAGGCACUUCGUGAGCAUCAGAAUACUGAACCCAGAGACCUGGGAACAGGAUUUCAUCAGUGACGUGAGAGAGCUGGGGAGAGCUGGUGAUGGUCCCUGGCGCACCCGAUCCAUCUCCAACCUGAGAGGUCAGGGAACAAUCCAGUGUGGUGACAGUCCUCUGAACUGUGUCACCCAGGGCGGCCUCAAAUCCCUUGUUCAAUCCUGGGUUUGUGGCCUGCCCAGGGCUGCGGCUGUCCUCUCAGCAAUUAAGGAGUCCCUCCCGCCAUAUAGGACCUAACUACCUGCUCCGAGAUCCUCCCAUCCCGGAACAGCCAGGGAUCCUCCCCCUGAAUCACACCCCAGAACUCGCAGGAAUUGGAGCGGCCUAAGCGUUAACCAGCAUCUUCUAUAGAGAUGCAGAGCCGUCUGGGAAGGCCCUGCAGGCGUCCCCACACCUUAAUCAGUUCGCCAUUUGCAGAUGUCCACCGGGACCUUGCACUUGGAGUUUUAGAGGGAGAAGGUGAGGGCUGAAGAAAGGUUGAUGAAGGAAGAAGCUGAUUUGAGGCUGGGCACAUAAGCAGGUGCAUCGGGAGGGAGGGGCAGCUCGGAAGCCAGCCUGCGGUGCAAGUCAGCCCUGAAGGCAGCCACUGCCUCUAAGCAACCAGCCCAGGGAGCUAGACAACAACCACUGAGCAGUUGGGGAAAAAUGGCCAGGACCUGACAAAGAGCUGCACGCUUCCCUUUUGGACCCACUUACAACUUAAAACCAAUCAGAGAAAACCAAACAUGCACCCUAACCCAUCACCUAGGACACCCUGAUUCUAGUUAGCCUGCUACCAGCCUCCCCAGGCCAGCAGGCUCCAAUCCGGGCAACCCCAGAACCUUCCCCUCCAGCUCUGUGAAGCGCGGCCGUCCUCCGCCUGCUUCCCGGGUCUCUGGCAAACCCAAGGGCUGGUGUCCAGCUCCCUCUCUCGGGCCAGCUCUGGAUAGGAGUAGUCUCUGCUCGUUUGUUCCACAGAGGUAAGACCAACUUCUCUCAUCUUGGAAGAGAGGAGAUACCGUCCAGGCUGCCGGAUGGGUGGGUGGGAAGCGACAGGGCGACCGUCCUCCCCUCCUGCCAAGGCGAGUCUGUACAACGUGUCCGGGGGCCAGAGAUGAUUUUUAGGAUGAAGCAAAGUGAGUGGCCACCACAGACAGAGGCCUCAUGCCACAGGGCCGGCUCGUCCUUCCAGAAUCCCGACGUUGCCCUACAAGACAGGCCUGCCGAGCAUUCCAGCCCGCCCUCCCCCGAGGACGAGAAGAUCCGACAGGAGCCUGAGGUGGUUUCCACCAUGUUCUGGAAGCACCUCCCCCAGAGGGAUACUCCAGCUCCUCAGGCCUCAGACCUGGGGGUAUCCUUCUGGAGCUUCGUGGGAGGUGACCCUCUGGUCUGUCUCCUUUGGAAAGCAAAUGCAAGUCCCACCAGGGGUCAUGCUGGAAGCAGGAGGAAACCAGGAUUCACGACCCCCACAGGAUGAGCAGGACCCUCUGCGUGGCAAGGCCUCGGGGGAGGCCUGGUGAGAGGGAUGACCAGUUGCGAAACACAGGCCGCCUCUUCUCUCCCUCCCAACCUUCGGACGAAGACUGAGUCAGCUUCCCAACACAAACAGUGACUCAGGCCCGGAGAGACAGAGUGGCCGGCCCUUUCUCUGGCUCUUCCUUCAGGAAAUGGAAUAACUUCCCAUGAAAAUAUUCAGAGGCGGUAAUGAAGGCCCUCGCCUUCGUCCUUUUAAGCUAAAGCCCUCGGGAAGAGACUCCUAUUUCCUUAAAAGUGGUUCUCCCACAUUUUGAGAGUGGGAACUCAGCCCUGUGGGAUGUCCCAGGGAAUAGAAGGACACAUACCCGACCAGGCCCCCAAAUGUCUGUACCUAUCAGAGAUUAGAUAGGACUAACUCCAGUGUUGUUGGUCUUUCCUUGGUUCCUGUUACUAUCCACAAGGGUCCUGGGGGCCUCACAGAAGGAAGGCCCUAGAUGAGAAGAAAGACAUCCACAAAGCAGAUGCCAGCGAGCAUCUCUGUGGCUGAAACCACUACGGACCAGCAUGUUUCGAUUUCAUCUUGUCAUCAAAAUGUCACCAAAAAUGGGUUGAGGGCCGGCCCUGUUGGCUGGAGACCCCAGUGAUGUCUGUUGGGUCUGAGAACAUUCUCGAAAGUAUCCCCCGCAUGAACACUUACCCGGUGGAGGCACUGAACGCCACUUUUGCGGACCUUUCUUGACUUGGGAGAAAUGCUUUCAGAAGUCCCUCCGGGGAGCCGUGUAGAGCGUGGUUAUCAAACUCGCAGCGCUCUCGUUCUGCUCCAAGCACCUUUUUAGUCCAAGUACAAUGUCAUGGCUAUUAAGGGCCCAGGAGACUUUCUCAGCCAGGCUCACUUGUAACUGUCUGUCACCACGCUGGGUCCUUCCACUUCCUGUUCCAUUCUCGUGCUCCUGCAUCUUACUCUCACUGACCCUUAUCUUAGCCAGUACGGGUUUGUGGUGGAAUGGAAACCCCAUCAGGAGGAAAACGCAGGGGAGAGUCAGCACUAACGGGUGCUGGGGGACGCUAAGCCUGCAGACCCUGGGGUUUUCCUCCAGGCUCUUGGUCGAGGGGUGAGCUCCUCUAACCCGCUUACCAACACCUUUGGAGCCCAUGUUUAAUGAUACGAAGAUGUUCCAGUAAGAACAAUUUACCAAGUGAAGGGCAGUUGGUCCAAAAUGGGUUUCUGACAUUAAGGAGGCAGUGAGCAGUUUUUUCCAUAAGAAAAAACGGUGACUCCCGGGCUAGGUCAUAUACUUUCCUCCUUCACAGCGGUGUGUCCUCAUUUGGUCUGGAAACGUCCGAGAGCCCAGAUGAUCAAUGGAAGAUCUCGGGAGAGGCUCGGGGCUCAGCCAGUGCUUCGCUGUGUACUACGGGGAGAGAGUUAACCGCUCUUGACCUUGGCUUUGCCGUCUUGCUUGCUCUUAGUCAUUUUGUGGAAGAAUACAGUGCAAUUUCCAAAGUGAAUGAAGGGGGCGCUUCCGGGGUUGGGACAGACCCAGCAGAUACAAAGCAGUGGCCGGUUCCAGAUCAACCCAAGAGAGGGCUGAGGGCGAACUGUCCACACUGUGCAAAAGCCGUCAACGUCAGGCUUUUCUACCAAAACGGUUUCUCGAGAUCAAUUUCUUGCAUCACUAAGCAUCACACAAAAAGUUAUUUUUAGGCUUCCCCUGGCAACAAGCACGUG